GAUGAACGCUGGCGGCGUGCCUAAUACAUGCAAGUCGAGCGAACAGAAUGAGGAGCUUGCUCCUCUGACGUUAGCGGCGGACGGGUGAGUAACACGUGGAUAACCUACCUAUAAGACUGGGAUAACUUCGGGAAACCGGAGCUAAUACCGGAUAAUAUAUUGAACCGCAUGGUUCAAUAGUGAAAGACGGUUUUGCUGUCACUUAUAGAUGGAUCCGCGCCGCAUUAGCUAGUUGGUAAGGUAACGGCUUACCAAGGCAACGAUGCGUAGCCGACCUGAGAGGGUGAUCGGCCACACUGGAACUGAGACACGGUCCAGACUCCUACGGGAGGCAGCAGUAGGGAAUCUUCCGCAAUGGGCGAAAGCCUGACGGAGCAACGCCGCGUGAGUGAUGAAGGUCUUCGGAUCGUAAAACUCUGUUAUUAGGGAAGAACAAAUGUGUAAGUAACUAUGCACGUCUUGACGGUACCUAAUCAGAAAGCCACGGCUAACUACGUG
rnacentral:rRNA from 1 species